CGGCCGCUGAGGAGCCCUCCGUCGGCGAACAAAGAGGAGGCCGGCAGGGCGGGGGCGUCUGCGGCGAGCAUGGCGGACCGCAGCCUGGAAGGCAUGGCUCUGCCGUUGGAGGUGAGGGCCCGGCUGGCCGAGCUGGAGCUGGAGCUGUCGGAAGAUGUCUCAUGCAGCCACCAGUGCCUUUUGCCGUUCUAUUAAGCUGCAGUGUGAACUUUACCCUUCUAGAGAAGUGGCCAUCUGUCUGGACCCUUACUGUGGACUUGGGUUUGUCCUCUGGUGUCUCUGCAGUGUAUACUCAGGGCACCAGUCCAUUCUGAUCCCACCUUCUGAGCUGGAGACCAAUCCUGCCUUGUGGCUUCUUGCUGUGAGUCAGUACAAAGUCCGGGAUACCUUCUGUUCCUAUUCAGUGAUGGAGCUUUGCA
rnacentral:lncRNA from 1 species